rnacentral:tRNA from 1 species
GCUCAGUUGAUAGAGCAUGGUGCUUGCAACGCUAGGGUUGUGGGUUUGAUUCCCAC